AAGUCGUAACAAGGUUUCCGUAGGUGAACCUGCGGAAGGAUCAUUAAUGAAUUCGAAUCGGUCAUCUGUGCUGGUGGCAACACAUGUGCACGUUGAUCGUCAUUCCAUUCUCCUUUCAAUCGUCCAAGUGUGUGUCAGGUCGACCUCGGUCGAAGAGUUGUGGCCCUCGGGCCUGAUUCGUUCCAGAUGCGCCUUGGUUAUCUCACCCACUCUGGGUAUUCGAAACAAAGAACAUUUUAUAUAAACUAUACAACUUUCAACAACGGAUCUCUUGGCUCUC
rnacentral:misc_RNA from 1 species